rnacentral:misc_RNA from 1 species
CCAAUAGCGUAUAUUAAAGUUGUUGUGGUUAAAAAGCUCGUAGUUGAACCUUGGGCCUGGCUGGCCGGUCCGCCUCACCGCGUGUACUGGUCCGGCCGGGCCUUUCCCUCUGUGGAACCCCAUGCCCUUCACUGGGUGUGGCGGGGAAACAGGACUUUUACUUUGAAAAAAUUAGAGUGCUCCAGGCAGGCCUAUGCUCGAAUACAUUAGCAUGGAAUAAUGAAAUAGGACGUGUGGUUCUAUUUUGUUGGUUUCUAGGACCGCCGUAAUGAUUAAUAGGGACAGUCGGGGGCAUCAGUAUUCAAUUGUCAGAGGUGAAAUUCUUGGAUUUAUUGAAGACUAACUACUGCGAAAGCAUUUGCCAAGGAUGUUUUCAUUAAUCAGUGAACGAAAGUUAGAGGUUCGAAGGCGAUCAGAUACCGCCCUAGUUCUAACCAUAAACGAUGCCAACCAGUAAUUCGCCUGAGUUCCUUAAAUGACUCGGCGAGGGACUUCCG